rnacentral:tRNA from 1 species
AAUAAGAAGCAAAUCUUGCAUUUAGUUUCGACCUAAAAAUUUGAUGUUAAACAUCCUUAUUU